rnacentral:rRNA from 1 species
UCGAGAAUAUUCGGCAAUGGGCGAAAGCCUGACCGAGCGACGCCGCGUGUGGGAAGAAGGUUUUCGGAUCGUAAACCACUUUUGUAGAGGAAGAACGUAAGUGACUGUACUCUGCGAAUAAGGGGCUCCUAACUCUGUGCCAGCAGGAGCGGUAAUACAGAGACCCCGAGCGUUAUCCGGAAUUAUUGGGCGUAAAGAGUCUGUAGGUUGUUUGUUAAGUUUCUCGUUAAAUUCCAUGGCUUAACCGUGGAGCUGCGGGAAAAACUGGCAAACUAGAGGACAUAAGAGGUUGACGGAACUCAUGGUGUAGGAGUGAAAUCCAUUGAUAUCAUGGGGAACACCAAAGGCGAAGGCAUUCAACUGGGAUGUCCCUGACACUGAGAGACGAAAGCGUGGGGAGCAAAAAGG